CGCCCCGCCCGCAUCGCCCCGCCCUCUCCUCUCCCUCUCCCUCCCUCAGUCCUUGCCGCCCCGCCCACCCCGCUCGCCGUGGCCGAUGCCCCCGGGCCUCGCCCGCCCCGCCCCGUCCGUCUGUGAACCCUAGCCCCGCGCUCGCACACUCCCUGUCGCGCCGCCGCCUCCGCCUUUGCUCACCGUCAGGCCGUCGGGCCGUUUCCUCUUUCCCUGAGGGCGGGGAGCCGGAGCUGCCCCCGCGCGUCGUCGAUCAUCUCCUCGCUGGCUGGACACCGUCGACCACGAAGCCGGUCUUCUCUAAGCGCGCGCCGCCGUAUGGGUCGCCGAGAUGCCGAGGCCAAGGCGGAGCUCCAGGCCAUCGAGGCCGCGUACGCCGCUGAGUCCGCCAGGCGUCGCCACCUCCCCGACUGGUCCAAGAUGCCAGCCCCCCGCCCCCGUCCGCCCACGGCCCAACCCAGUCCCCGCGGCCGCGUGUGCCUCCUCGCCGUCGUGGGUGCUCUCUCCCCACUUGCCAAGUUGCGGCUCCCCUCUUUUGCUGGUCCCUGGUAUUGUUUAUCAUGUUUAUCACUGCAAUUUCAUGAUCCAAUAGUUAAGAGUAAGUCUAAGAUCAUUUGGUCACAGAAAUUUGAUCUUGACUGAACAUCAACUUGACAGAUCAAAACCUGACAGAAAUUGACAGGUUCUGAACAUCAACUUGACUCAACAAAGAUCUUGACUGAAAGAACUUGUGCUUGGUCCUAUGCAUCUACUGCUUUGUUAAUAGAUCUUUUUUGUAUCUUUCAUUCUGUCUUGAUCUUGACUGAGUAAAUGUUCAGUGUGAGUACCAGCUACCCACCCAUGUUCUUCUCUGUAAUCAAGUGUUCGCGGGGAAGCUCAGUUAUGGUCAAUUCAUCUCAAAAUAAUGCAAACCCUUGCAGACUGCUCAGGAAGCAGCUGAGUACACUGGCGGCAUCGGUUGUAAAUAGCCGGACUAAAGGAUCUAUGCACAUAUCUGCACCCGCAAGUUUUAUUGCUGGAGUGUGGAAUGGUUUGAGCACGGCAAUCAAGUGGCAGAAUUAUUGUUGAAACAUGCCACCGUGUGAAGAUGAAUAGGAACCUUUCAUAAUUAUUCCCAAACAUGCCACCGUGUUAUCAUUGGCCAGUGCAGUUGUGUUACUUGAAGAAUAAUGGCAAGGGAGGUGGGGCGAUAUGCAUGUCCAUGGAGCGGCGGAGGGCAGCAAGUGGAGAAAGAUGAAGGUUGCACAACACCAAGGGUGUGAAUGGGGACAACAAGUAGGCGGCGUGUAUACUACACCAAGGACGAUACAGGGCAUGAAGCAAGCAAGCGAGCAGGUGUACACAACGACCUGCUACUGCACUAAUAGCCUUGACAGAGCACCGGGGCCGGCUUGACAAGGCAUUCGGCCGCCGGCAGACCCUGGAUGUGCGCGAUGGAGAUGAACCCCGCGUCGUUGCCUCUGCAGCCUGGAUAGAGCUAUGUCAGUGCUGGUGAUGAACCCCACGUCUGUGCUGGUGAUGGCGCUAUCCAUCUACUUUCUCCACUGGCUGUCAGACAGUAGAGAUCACAUUGUGGAUUUAUGUUUUCUUCAGAGUGUUCUCCCGUCAUUGUUGGAUGUCGAAUUUGCAAGGCAAUCCGUCUCUAUGUCGAUGUCUUAACCACUUCGUACUUCCGCACAAUUAGCAGAAUAGAGCAGUUGCCACAAUUUACCCAUUGAUUUCUUGGACUGAUUCAGACCUAGGAAAGGCUGCUACUUGUGCAAGCAACAUGUUGUGCUAAUACUUUGUGUGCACUUCAGCGGGAAUGGAAUUUUCUUGCUACCAUGUGUCAUGGUAGUAGGUUGCUGCGGCAAAAAACUGAAACCACUUCAACUAGCCUAGGACCAUCUCCGGUCUGACACGCGAGGCGCCUACCGAGUGCCUCCCCAGCUUAACGGUCCCAAACCCAAGGUGAGUCCCUCUUCCACCCAUCCAUCCUUGCAUGUUGUCGCCGUCGGAUACGGGAGGCCGCCGAUUGCGUCGCUAGGCCAGACUAGAAGUGAAGCUCGCCUUUGAGUUUUAGGUUGGAUGGUGAACUCGGUAGCUUAUAGAUUGUGGUUGUCCUUUUUGAUCAGUGU